rnacentral:lncRNA from 1 species
CUGGACUAGUAUAUAUUUGUUUAGGGGCCAGCUGAGGGACGCCUCCGGGUGCGGGAAUUUCUCGCUACAUUGAAGACCUGUUGGUGACCCUCUGCUGUUGUUUUUUAUUUGGUCGGGUUGUUGUCUCUUUGACACAUUCCCCAUUUCCAUUCUCAAUUUUAAUUAAGAUAAAGAGAUAUAAGCAAUUGCAAAUUAGGCGGGAAUAAAUCUCUCUAGAAAAAUAUUUUAUGAGACAUUAUAAUAUGACAUUUUUAACAAUGUGUAAUCAAAUUACAGAAAGACAAGUAGAAAGAUGGCGUUAAACCCUACCUGUCUUGAUAUAUGAAAUAUGUAAUAUGCACAUUGAUCUAUACAGGCGAACCAGUCUAGGUUUAGCGGGCACAUUUUUUAAUGGCACAACAUGGAUAAAACCAGAGGAUUCUGAAUAUCUGGUGAAAAUUCAAAACAUCAUAAGGAUCGGGAAGUUUGCUCCCUUUGUGUUUUGAAUUUUUACCAGAUAUUCGGAAUCUGUGGAUUCAUCCAUCAGUCCAUCUCAGACAACAUUCGAUUAUCAUGUCAAUUUUCACACUUAACUG